GCAUAUCAAUAAGCGGAAGAAAAAAGAAAACCAACAGAGAAUUGCCUCAGUAACGGCGAGUGAAGCGGCAACAGCUCAAAUUUGAAAUCUGGCCCCCAGGCCCGAGUUGUAAUUUGUAGAGGAUGCUUCUGGCGACGCGACUUCCGAGUUCCCUGGAACGGGACGCCAAAGAGGGUGAGAGCCCCGUCCGGUCGUUCGCCUAGCCUCUGUGAAGCUCCUUCGACGAGUCGAGUAGUUUGGGAAUGCUGCUCUAAAUGGGAGGUAUACGUCUUCUAAAGCUAAAUACCGGCCCAGAGACCGAUAGCGCACAAGUAGAGUGAUCGAAAGAUGAAAAGCACUUUGAAAAGAGGGUUAAAUAGUACGUGAAAUUGCUGAAAGGGAAGCGCUUAUGACCAGACUUGGGCCAGGUGAAUCAUCCGGCGUUCUCGCCGGUGCACUUUGCCUGCCCAGGCCAGCAUCAGUUCGCUUCGGGGGAUAAAGGCUUCGGGAAUGUAGCUCCUCCGGGAGUGUUAUAGACCGUUGCGUAAUACCCUGGGGCGGACUGAGGUACGCGUUCUGCAAGGAUGCUGGCGUAAUGGUCAUCAGUGACCCGUCUUGAAACACGGACCAAGGAGUCGUCUUCGUAUGCGAGUGUUCGGGUGUCAAACCCCUACGCGUAAUGAAAGUGAACGUAGGAGAGAGCUUCGGCGCAUCUCCGACCGAUCCUGAUGUUCUCGGAUGGAUUUGAGUAAGAGCAUACGGGGCCGGACCCGAAAGAAGGUGAACUAUGCCUGUAUAGGGUGAAGCCAGAGGAAACUCUGGUGGAGGCUCGCAGCGGUUCUGACGUGCAAAUCGAUCGUCAAAUAUGGGCAUGGGGGGCGAAAGACUAAUCGAACCUUUCUAGUAGCUGGGUUUCCGCCGA
rnacentral:rRNA from 1 species